rnacentral:rRNA from 1 species
GACGAACGCUGGCGGCGUGCUUAACACAUGCAAGUCGAGCGGAGCGGCGAACGGGUGAGUAACGCGUGAGUAACUGCCCCCCUAUCUGGGAUAACAGUUGGAAACGGUUUCUAAUACCGGAUAGUGGGGGAUGACUCGCGUCCUAUCAGCUUGUUGGUGGGGUAGUGGCCUACCAAGGCGACGCCGGGUAGCCGGCCUGAGCGGGCGGACGGCCACAUUGGGCGGAGCUACGGCCCAAACUCCUACGGGAGGCAGCAGUGGGUAAUAUUGCGCACUGGGGGAAACCCUGAUGCAGCAACGCCGCGUGCGGGAUGACGGCCUUCGGGUUGUAAACCGCUUUCAGCCAUGACGCGGUAGUGGCAGAAGAAGCACCGGCUAACUACGUGCCAGCAGCCGCGGUAAUAC